AGCUAACUCACAGGUCCUGUCCACACUCAAGGAGAGACGCUUACACAACGGUGUAAGGGAGGAAGGGAGCAUGGGGAGCCACUUUAAGUUCUGACCUCCAUUCCUUCAAGGAACAUCCAUGAGGAUCGACCCCAUCUACCCACCACCCAAGACUCCCAGUGAAGAUUCACAGUCCUGCCCAGCCUGAAACCCAUCAGGAGAAUGUCAACUUAAUCUGGCUCAAGGUUCACACAAGGUUUACAGAAUCCUCAACAGGGACCAAACCCUCCAAAAUUGAAGAGUGACUCAUGAACAUGCCCUCGAGGAGCUCACAAGUUCUGGGGGCAGAAGAAGAAACCCAGGGCUAGAAGAUUUCUGUCAGAGGGAGCAGCAGGAAGGUGAUGGUGCCCUGAUAGAAGAAACAGUGAGAACAACAAAAGUGACAGAGGCUGGGAAACAGGAGGUCACAUGAAGCAACUUGGCCCCGACGCCGUGCUCUUCCACAAGGGUCUGAGCCCCAGAGGCCCAUUUUGCGUCAUCCCACCCAGCGUUCCAGAUCUUUCUCUUCACCUCAGUCUCACCGCCCUGAAAUCCAGCACUUUCUGGUUCCACGUCUGAGGCCAGGCGGCACUGGGAACAAGAGUCUGCAUCCCAUUUGCAUGACAUGAGCGCAGUCGGGAUUUUUAUUCUUUCUCUGGGUGUGUGUAAGUUCGUGCUCUGCACAAAAGAACCACUCAGCAUUGCUUUUUCAAGCCGAGCUUUAAAAGGCUUAUUUGCCAUGACAUCCAGCACUUGUAAUUUGAGGUCAUACCCCGAGGAAGAAUUGCUAAAUCUGUGUAAAAUGUCUCUGACUCCUUUUCUUACAGAUUCUGUCAGAUUAUCUCUUUAAGAAUUCUAAACCUAUUUUGUUUGAGGUGGUUUUAGGCUAAUGUACAUUCCCCAACCAUU